rnacentral:lncRNA from 1 species
AUCCAAUCUAGCUCAACCCAAUACACAUUAAAAGUUUGUUUUUCUCUAAUUAUUUUUUUUCUUCAAAUUAUUAUAUGAUUUUUAUGAGGUCAUGUUAAGUUCCAGGAAAUUGCGAGAAUGCAGAAUUUUUCACUUUUAACACCAAAGCUUCCAGGGGCCUUGAGGGGCCCCAAGACCCCUCGCCAUAUGACUUACAUGUACCCCCGGCUUUAAGUACACAUCAUUUUGGCCUAGCUACACCCCUGGCUGUUUAGAGCGUAUAUAAAAAGGAGAAAAAGAACCCUAUCUACAUAUGUAACAUAUGCACACAAGAUGUAGAUUCAAAGGAAGCCAGUGUAAUGUGUAGUUCCUGUUUUGAGUGGCAACAUUUAUCUUGUGCUAGACUAAACAACUUCCAAAGGCAAAGAAUUGGUUUUGUAACAAUUGCAAAUGUUAAA